GUAGGUGGCAAGCGUUGUCCGGAAUUAUUGGGCGUAAAGCGCGCGCAGGCGGUUCUUUAAGUCUGAUGUGAAAGCCCACGGCUCAACCGUGGAGGGUCAUUGGAAACUGGAGAACUUGAGUACAGAAGAGGAAAGCGGAAUUCCACGUGUAGCGGUGAAAUGCGUAGAGAUGUGGAGGAACACCAGUGGCGAAGGCGGCUUUCUGGUCUGUAACUGACGCUGAGGCGCGAAAGCGUGGGGAGCAAACAGGAUUAGAUACCCUGGUAGUCCACGCCGUAAACGAUGAGUGCUAAGUGUUAGGGGGGUUUCCGCCCCCCUUAGUGCUGCAGCUAACGCACUAAGCACUCCGCCUGGGAGUACGGCCGCAAGGCUG
rnacentral:rRNA from 1 species